rnacentral:lncRNA from 1 species
CCCGCCGAUUGGUGACAGCGCAGCCGGUGAGGGCGGGCGUUGCUGGGGGCGAUGCGGGCGGCAGUGUGGACGGCGCGCUCGGCGCUGCUGUACUCGGUGGGCGGUUGGACGAUGCUGGGGGCCCUGCUCCACCACACCCAGACCAGCGGCGGCGGCGGAGGCGGGGGGCCCGAGAAGGAAAGUGAUCCUGAGGCAAGCCAAACAGCCCGAAGAGAAGUAAUUACUACCAAUACACCUAUAGGCAUACAAAUCACAACAGUGGUGACGUACCAGGAGAAGCCUGAAACUCCUCUGGCUCGACUGUGCCAGCGUGUGAAAUUAUUCUUUGAUUCCCUUGAUGAUGGUUCUUCUAAAAAUUAAUGCGGUCUGGAAACUUGGAAUUUUGUGCUGAUGCAGAGGAGUGGAAAACUUUCUCUUGCAUCGUUGAAACAACAGGUCCAUAUCCGAAAUAACUUUGCAAAGCUUUGCAGAUCUUCUCAUCUGCUCAAAUCAAUGGCUUUCUUUGCACAUGUAUUCAAAUUAUUAAACAUGAACUGUCUUCAACUAAAUGUUGUAAGAGGUGUUAAUGAAACUGCAUGCUACCUGGUGUCCGGUGUCCGACAAACAGUGGCUGUUGCUGCAUUUUUUUGAAAUGGAUUUGUUGGUGUGCAGGACCUACAUGGGUGAUCUGGAAUCUGUCUACUGAUUCAGUUCCUCAACUGGUUGUUUGGGAACAACUGGUAAACUGGAAGGAAUGUGUUUGAUCUUUGGGGUAUUAGAAUUGUAUUGUCCUUCAAAACUUUACAAGGUGAAUGAUUUUGGUGAAACAUGAAUUACAAAGGUAGAAAUGCUAUUGCUGGAAGCACUUGCAUUGUAAAUUCAGUAACACUAUUGGUUUCUGUAACAUUUUAAGAACACAGCUAACAUACCUGAAAAUGUAUUAAGUUGCCAAGGAAAGAUGUUCUUUCAAUUGCAAGCCUGGAGAAUUUUCUGAAAGACAUCAAAGAAGCUUUGCACUUUUUUUCUUGGUUUUGUAACAUAGUCCUAAUUCAGCCCCUCCUGUAUCAAUGAUGACAGUAGUAAUGAAGAUCCAGGACAACAGACUUCUAUUGUAAAUAGAACAGGUUUAGUUGUAAGCAUGCAUUAACUUGGGAAAAAAAAGUUACAGUCACAGUGCUUUUUCUCUUGUCUUUACAAUCGCCUUGAGCAUGUACAGGUGAGUGAAUAAGGUACAAAUUACUGAGAAAUGACAGGAAGACAACUAKUUUAAGAAUUCAGUGGCUGAAAUAACCUUUCAGAUGAUAAUUUAUCAUGAGGCAAAAGUUUUCAGUAGUGGUUCCCAAUCUAUUUGAUAAGGCAGACCUUGUAACUACCACUGCUUCCUUUUCCUUAGCUGCUUCAUCUUCCAGAUGUUGCCACUGUGUACCGGUGGCAGCUUUUGACAAGGAACRCAAGCUAGUUAGUUGGGCAGAACUUAACAGCUUUCACUGUACCUCGCCCCUGGCUUUUGAUGUUAACAAGUCUCACUAGCCAGUUAUGUCUCACUGAUUCUCUAUUUACUAGCCUGUGGUAGUGGUGUAGUAGUGUACAUGAUGCAGGGCUAUUACGGUACUAGCACUUUAUGAAAAUUAAGAAGGAAAACAUAUCAUAAAGCUAAAAAUAAAGUUUAUCUUUUUUUUGAGUAUUAACUGAGU